rnacentral:rRNA from 1 species
UGCCAGCCGCCGCGGUAAUACGAGGGGUGCAAGCGUUGUUCGGAAUCACUGGGCGUAAAGGGGGCGUAGGCGGGAAGCCAAGUCAGUUGUUUAAUUCCGGGGCCCAACCCCGGCUCGGCAAUUGAAACUGGUUUUCUUGAAUGUAUCAGAGGUAGACGGAAUUCUUGGUGUAGCGGUGGAAUGCGUAGAUAUCAAGAAGAACACCUGUUGUGAAGACGGUCUACUGGGAUAACAUUGUCGCUGAGGUCCGAAAGCGUGGGUAGCGAACAGGAUUAGAUA